rnacentral:rRNA from 1 species
UCAUGGCUCAGGACGAACGCUGGCGGCGUGCCUAAUACAUGCAAGUCGAGCGGAGAAAUGGGAGCUUGCUCCCAUUUCUCAGCGGCGGACGGGUGAGUAACACGUGGGCAACCUGCCCUACAGACUGGGAUAACUCCGGGAAACCGGAGCUAAUACCGGGUAAUACAUAGCAUCGCAUGAUGCAACGUUGAAAGUUGGCCUUUGGCUAACACUGUAGGAUGGGCCCGCGGCGCAUUAGCUAGUUGGUAAGGUAACGGCUUACCAAGGCCACGAUGCGUAGCCGACCUGAGAGGGUGAUCGGCCACACUGGGACUGAGACACGGCCCAGACUCCUACGGGAGGCAGCAGUAGGGAAUCUUCCGCAAUGGACGAAAGUCUGACGGAGCAACGCCGCGUGAGUGACGAAGGCCUUCGGGUCGUAAAGCUCUGUUGUUAGGGAAGAACAAGUACCGUUCGAAUAGGGCGGUACCUUGACGGUACCUAACCAGAAAGCCACGGCUAACUACGUGCCAGCAGCCGCGGUAAUACGUAGGUGGCAAGCGUUGUCCGGAAUUAUUGGGCGUAAAGCGCGCGCAGGCGGUCUCUUAAGUCUGAUGUGAAAGCCCACGGCUCAACCGUGGAGGGCCAUUGGAAACUGGGGGACUUGAGUGCAGAAGAGGAGAGUGGAAUUCCACGUGUAGCGGUGAAAUGCGUAGAUAUGUGGAGGAACACCAGUGGCGAAGGCGGCUCUCUGGUCUGUAACUGACGCUGAGGCGCGAAAGCGUGGGGAGCGAACAGGAUUAGAUACCCUGGUAGUCCACGCCGUAAACGAUGAGUGCUAGGUGUUGGGGGGUUCCACCCUCAGUGCUGAAGUUAACACAUUAAGCACUCCGCCU